UCUUGUAGCUCACGAGAGAAAGGUUUUGACAACGACAUUGCAACAAGAGUUAUGAAAAUUAUUGUUGAUGUGUGCAUGAUUGGACUCCAAGGGAAUGUGGAAAAGGUGUCUUGGGCACACCCGGGUGAUGAUCUAGACUUCACCCUUCGUCGAAGCAAAAGAAGAAAAACCCACGUCUUAUAUUUAUUUUCCUCUUUGCUCUCUCGCCCCACCUCUUUCUCCAUACGCUACGAGUCUUAAUGUUGUCUUCUUCCCACACAUGAGCCGCGCCUCUCACUCCUCCUCCUCCUCAUGGGGUGGCUUCAGUCCCUCCUCUCUCCAUUGAAGAAGAUGUGGUUUCGCCUCCACUCAGCUCCGAAAAAGAGAAGAGGGAUAUACAUUCUCUACGAGGACGUCAAAUCAUGCCCGUGUGAGGACGUUCAUGUGCUGUGGUCGAUCCUGGUGGAGGCGAACACGCCUUCUGCGCCGUCCACCGCCAAACAAUGAACACCUCCAGGUCGCAGGGGGUUCUUCCACUUCUCAGGCUACACUAGAAACCCCCAGUCAUGUACAUUAAAAUAUGUAUUUAUAAUGUCUUCCACUACACUCCUGUAGCUUUGCCUCAUCUUUCUCCCUUUCUUUGUUCUGAUUUUUGAGCAUGAGAUUGUUGACUUAUCAUAACUUAAAUUUCAAGGAUUCCAUGAGGAGUGCUCCUUCAU